rnacentral:tRNA from 1 species
GGGUUCAUAGUACAAUGGAUAGUAUGACGGCCUCCGAAGCCGUAGAUCCAGGUUCGACUCCUGGUGGACCUACCA